GACGGAGGGUGCAAGCGUUGUUCGGAUUGACUGGGCGUAAAGGGCGUGUAGGCGGUCGGCCUAGUCUGAUGUGAAAGCCCGAGGCUCAGCCUCGGAAGUGCGUCGGAAACUAGUCGGCUGGAGCGCGAUAGAGGAGGGUGGAAUUCCUGGUGUAGCGGUGAAAUGCGUAGAUAUCAGGAGGAACACCGGCGGCGAAGGCGGCCCUCUGGAUCGUUGCUGACGCUGAUACGCGAAAGCGUGGGGAGCAAACAGG
rnacentral:rRNA from 1 species